rnacentral:rRNA from 2 species
UACAGAGGGUGCAAGCGUUAAUCGGAAUUACUGGGCGUAAAGCGCAUGUAGGUGGUUGCAUAAGUUUGAUGUGAAAGCCCCGGGCUUAACCUGGGAAUGGCGUUGAAGACUGUGUGACUAGAGUCGGACAGAGGGUCGUGGAAUUUCCGGUGUAGCGGUGAAAUGCGUAGAGAUCGGAAAGAACACCAGUGGCGAAGGCGGCGACCUGGGUCCAGACUGACACUGAGGUGCGAAAGCAUGGGGAGCAAACAGG